UACGAAGGGGGGCUAGCGUUGUUCGGAUUUACUGGGGCGUAAAGCGCACGUAGGCGGGUUGUUAAGUCAGGGGUGAAAUCCUGGAGCUCAACUCCAGAACUGCCUUUGAUACUGGCAACCUAGAGGCUGGAAGAGGUUAGUGGAAUUCCCAGUGGUAGAGGUGAAAUUCGUUAGAUAUUGGGGAAGAAACACCAAUGGCGAAGG
rnacentral:rRNA from 1 species